UGUGUGAUUGAAUUGGACACCCCUGCUGUAUUAUGAGAAAAAUGCUACAAAAACAUGUUAAAUACACAAAAAAAGAGGAUUUUCAUUGGGGUGGGUCUGUAUUGUGCCUGAUAGUUCAGUGCGGCUUAUUUUAGACAAGUUUGAAAAUAAUCUAUUCAUUGCUGGUAUGCCUUAAAAUCUUAAAGUGCAGAAACAACAACAACAACAAAAACGGUAAUUGAAAUAAGAAUAAGACACCCCGCUGUAUGUUGAUUCAAGUGGCCCAUAAUGAGCUAUAUGAUAAAACAAAGAUUGUUCUGUAAUCAUAACGAAGCCUUUCCGACUUAAAGUGCAUUCUGCAGGUUAUUUAUGGCUUCUUAAUAUGCUGGUGUUGCUCUGGCUCCGUUCAUGUUCCCUGAGAGACGGUGAGAAUCAAACCAGCUCUGACAGGCUCUGUCCAUCCGCGUCCCCUCUGACACUGCAGGGUCAACGGCUGCACCCUCCUCUGAACAUGCACCCUGCCAAGUUUGCCUGCCUGCUAUCAAUGACAGCAAGUGGGGAGCGACAGCACACUUCUGGAAAGUCCCAUCCGACAUUCCUGAAGCGUGCCUGAACUUUCCAGUAUGGAUCUCCUAAUCUGAUCUUGGAGUUGCAAUUAUGCCCUUGAAUACCCCACGGAUCCGGAUGAUUAUGAACAUAAAAGAAAAAAAACACUUACACAGUGAAGUGAUACACGAAGCAUCUCCAUCCGGACGGCCUCUCCAGAAAGUUGUACACGCGUCCUUGGAUGUAGGCGCGCGUGAAGACGGGACGGACCCCGGUGCUGUAUACUGACAUCCGGACUGACAUGCGCGGAUGAGAUGGGUGGGUCGUACGCGCUAGAAGGAGUUUGCGCCAACUCCAAGUCCGGCGGUCUUCUUCUUCUUCCACGCGCCAAAGCAGAAAAUGUCCAUGUGUCCUCCUGAGAGGGAGUGGAAGACUUAGACAUUUCUCUUCAGUCAACUUUUCCACUUACUUAUAGGUCACCGACUCCGGCUGACAACUGUUCGUCCAUGUGCGCUCACCUUCUGUUGCGCGCCCGGGACGCGUCAAAGCAGAGCCUGCUUGUUAAUGCGCGUGAUGGCUCCUAAUGCCUUCUCCAACUCCACGUUUCCGCCUGUCUGGGUUGUUGAGGACGCGGUGAGACUCAGCCUUUAAAUGAACACUCUUUACCUCUCUUCCGGAGCACUUAUCAGCCGGUGGAGCUGUCGCGAGGCGGUGCGCUGCGAGCAGCCAGCCAGCUGCUCAGGCUUUAACGGAAAAACCCCCUCAGAGGAUGAAGUUAAGGAGCUCCAUCCUCUUCAUACUACGAGCUUUGCACUAAUUCUUUUCUCCUCAAAAUACAUUGAGCCCCUUAAUA